UACGUAGGGGCCUAGCGUUGUCCGGAUUCAUUGGGCGUAAAGAGCUCGUAGGCGGCUUGGCAAGUCGGGUGUGAAAACUUCAGGCUCAACCUGGAGCGGCCACUCGAUACUGCCAUGGCUUGAGUCCGGUAGGGGACCACGGAAUUCCUGGUGUAGCGGUGAAAUGCGCAGAUAUCAGGAGGAACACCGGUGGCGAAGGCGGUGGUCUGGGCCGGAACUGACGCUGAGGAGCGAAAGCGUGGGGAGCGAACAGG
rnacentral:rRNA from 1 species